AGAGAAAGUCCAGUGGAGAGGCAAUGAGGACUAGAAGGAAGAUAUUAACAAUUUUACGGGAAGUAUGAGGCCACAAAAAGAAGACAGUUUAUUAUUCAGAUAAACUGGGUCUGGCGUGUCAGUGAAUAUCCAUGAGGGGGGAGUGACUGACUCUUCGCAGACGAUGUCUGGAAGCCGCAGAUGGAAAUUUUCAGCUUUAUGAAAUCACACGCAUACUCUGAGCUUCUGCUUUCAUGGUCCAGAUAGACAUGCAAGAAUCAGCCCGGUUCUCCAUCCUGGGUUUGUCCCUCCUGCACAUCGUUUCUAUUAAGGUUGAAAACUGUUUCAAUAAUGGUUCUUCAGAAACACAGGAAUACAAACAUGAACAAAGACUAUUUCCACAUUCUUUGCAUUCUGUGUGGGAGUGCUUCCAGACCAUAGACUUGCUAACUACCUGCUGUCUGACAAAUUUUCCAUUUGUGUUUUCAUUUUUCCAUUAUUCCAUCAAGCAGAGAGUGGAGAACUACUUCUCCAGUGCAAGUAAGCACUCCAGCAGCAGAUGGCAGCUUACACUGUGGAAGCCAUGGGAAAUGAAAGAUAAUUAAAAAUAAAAAGCACAGAGAAUAUAUAAACUGUCAUGCACCCAGUGAACUAAAAUUAUCAACUAUUAAUAUCAAUGAAAAUAACUGUUUUAGUUCCUGUUGACACUGACACUGUUAGAUUUAUGAACUUAGAACAUGGCUGGAAUUUUUUUACUCUAUUUAAAAUAAGUUGGGGAAGAGUAUAUUGGCAAUUUGAGUUCUUUAUUAUGCAGGGAAGUAUUAAAGAGGAAAAAAUAUGCAUUAUGUGAUUUAAAGGUUUUUCUUUUUUAUUAAAGAAGGGUGACGUUUUAUUUAAAUUUCCAUUACUUGUCACAGUUUGGAAUCUACUUAGGAUACAUACUAAUAAUUGCAUAAUUAUGAGGUUGUGUUUACACAAAACCAAGGUAUAAUAUAUUCCAACAUUAUGGGAGAUUAGGAACAUUUGGAUACAACUCAACUGAGAAACAUAUCACCUUUAGUUCAAAAUUUAAAAUGAUUUUUUGCUGAGGUUUUUCUCUUUCAACUUUUAACUUCUCACAUCUGCCAGACAGAGCAAAAGAAAUGUCUUAGUACCCUUGAGCUUACAGAAAGUUAGCAUAAAUGAUGAGCGUGUCUUAGGACUGUUUGAUAGCAGGUAGUUUAAACUGUAAAAGUUUGAUAUUAUUUGUGUCAUAAGCGACAUAGCCCCAAGUGAAGUUGAGUUUAUGAACCAUAAUAGAAACUGAAAGUAGGUAGUGUUAGCUGGCUUACAGCAAUAUUCUUCUGAUGGAGACAAUAGUUCAAUAUCAUGUGAAAGCUUAAUGAAAGAAAAUGCUUUGCCUUCCACUAAAAUAUAUGACAAUACUGGAAAGUAAUAGUAUUAAAUUACUUGAACUACAAUAGCAGCAUUGUAUGUGUAAAUGUGUGCAUGAAAUCUAUGUCAAUGUGUUUAAAUAAAUAGAAGUUAGAAUAAACCCAAGAGACUUUUAUUGAACUAAAUUAGAACAGCUGAUAGCAGCACAUGAUAGUAUUAUCAGUGUAAAUAAGUAACAAUUCAAGGCAUUUUCAUGUUCAUACAUAUAAUAUAAAGUUUUGAUUUACAUGAAAUUUCUCUGUGAAGAAAAUAUAGUUUAACCAUUUGUUCUUAUGCACAAAAAUGUUUCCACAAUAGACAA